GCCCGUGUGGCUCAAUCGGUAGAGCGUGAGACUCUUAAUCUCAAGGCUGCGAGUUCGAGCCUCGCCAUGGGCU